rnacentral:rRNA from 1 species
GACGAACGUUGGCGGCGUGGAUUAGGCAUGCAAGUCGAACGGUAGGAUACCUUCGGGUAUCUGAGAGUGGCGAACGGGUGAGUAACACGUAGGUGAUCUACCCUCAAGAUUGGGACAACCCAGGGAAACUUGGGCUAAUACCGGAUGAAAGCAGCAGUGAUGUUGUUUGAAAGGUGGCGUAAGCUGCCGUUUGGGGAUGAGCCUGCGCUCUAUUAGUUAGUUGGCGGGGUAAAGGCCCACCAAGGCGAUGAUAGAUAGGCGGCCUUAACGGGUGGUCGCCCACACUGGGACUGAGACACGGCCCAGACUCCUACGGGGGGCAGCAGUGGGGAAUCUUGCACAAUGGGCGAAAGCCUGAUGCAGCGACGCCGCGUGAGCGAAGAAGGCCUUCGGGUUGUAAAGCUCUGUCUGGAGGGACGAAGGAAGUGACGGUACCUCCGGACGGAAGCCACGGCUAACUACGUG